rnacentral:misc_RNA from 1 species
GAUGAAGAACAUAGCGAAAUGCGAUAAGUAAUGUGAAUUGCAGAAUUCAGUGAAUCAUCGAAUCUUUGAACGCACAUUGCGCCCCUUGGUAUUCCGAGGGGCAUGCCUGUUCGAGCGUCAUUAUAACCCCUCAAGCUCAGCUUGGUGUUGGGGCCUGCUGCACUGGCAGCCCUUAAAAUCAGUGGCGGCGCCAUCUGGCUCUAAGCGUAGUAAUUCUUCUCGCUAUGGAGUCCUGGUGGAUGCUUGCCAUCAACCCCCAAUUUUUCUAUGGUUGACCUCGGAUCAGGUAGGGAUACCCGCUGAACUUAAGCAUAUCAAUAAGGGAGGA